AAACGGAUGCUAAUACCCCAUAGGUGGAUUGGUCGCAUGACGAAUUCAUUAAAGGUGGCUUUGCUACCACUCAUGGAUAGCCUCGCGGCGUAUUAGCCAGUUGGUAAGGUAAUGGCUUACCAAGGCAGUGAUACGUAGCCGACUUGAGAGGGUGAUCGGCCACACUGGGACUGAGACACGGCCCAG
rnacentral:rRNA from 1 species